rnacentral:rRNA from 1 species
CUACGGGGUGCUGCAGUGGGGAAUAUUGCACAAUGGACGAAAGUCUGAUGCAGCAACGCCGCGUGGAGGAUGACACAUUUCGGUGCGUAAACUCCUUUUAUAUAAGAAGAUAAUGACGGUAUUAUAUGAAUAAGCACCGGCUAACUCCGUGCCAGCAGCCGCGGUAAUACGGGGGGUGCAAGCGUUACUCGGAAUCACUGGGCGUAAAGAGCAUGUAGGUGGAUUAAUAAGUUGGAAGUGAAAUCCUAUAGCUUAACUAUAGAACUGCUUCCAAAACUGUUGAUCUAGAAGUGUGGGAGAGGUAGAUGGAAUUUCUGGUGUAGGGGUAAAAUCCGUAGAGAUCAGAAGGAAUACCGAUUGCGAAGGCGAUCUACUGGAACACUAUUGACACUCAGAUGCGAAAGCGUGGGGAGCAAACAGGAUUAGAUACCCUGGUAGUC